rnacentral:misc_RNA from 1 species
CAAGAAGUCUCAGGGCUAUAUGCCCUGAAACCUUCCACCCUUUGUUUAUUGAACUUAUCUUGUUGUUGCCUCGGCGAGGGGGCGUUAUUGCGUAUCUUUUUUACGCAUUCUCCUCCCCCCCGCCGGUGUACAGCUCUAUAAACUUUUGAUAUAAACUAUACAGUCAGAGCCAUUAUGGCAUUUUGAUAAAUAAAUCA